CCGGUAUCCAAGAUAUGGCCACACUUUCUUCUGGCCAUGGCUAGAUGGCACUUGUGGCUAGAUUUCUUCCAUGCACCACUAAUCGCUACCAUGUCUGUGGCCGGAGCUAUUCGACGAACAACCAUCGCAUUUACCUAGGUACUUUUUCGGGUUUUUGGUCCACCUGGCACCAUUUUUGGCCCAUAUUUGCCCCAUAGCUCCGCCGGUAUCCAAGAUAUGGCCACACUUUCUUCUGGCCAUGGGUAGAUGGCACUUGUGGCUAGAUUUCUUCCAUGCACCACUAAUCGCUACCAUGUCUGUGGCCGGAGCUAUUCACGAAAGCGCCUCGCGCACUUGGUCGGAUUUUUGGUCCACCUGGCACCAUUGUUGGCCCGUAUUUGCCCCAUAGCUCCGCCGGUAUCCAAGAUAUGGCCACACUUUCUUCUGGCCAUGGGUAGAUGGCACUUGUGGCUAGAUUUCUUCCAUGCACCACUAAUCGCUACCAUGUCUCUGGCCGGAGCUAUUCGACGAACAACCAUCGCAUUUACCUAGGUACUUUUUCGGAUUUUUGGUCCAACUUGCACCAUUUUUGGCCCAUAUUUGCCCCAUAGCUCCGCCGGUAUCCAAGAUAUGGCCACACUUUCUUCUGGCCAUGGGUAGAUGGCACUUGUGGCUAGAUUUCUUCCAUGCACCACUAAUCGCUACCAUGUCUGUGGCCGGAGCUAUUCACGAAAGCGCCUCGCGCACUUGGUCGGAUUUUUGGUCCACCUGGCACCAUUGUUGGCCCGUAUUUGCCCCAUAGCUCCGCCGGUAUCCAAGAUAUGGCCACACUUUCUUCUGGCCAUGGGUAGAUGGCACUUGUGGCUAGAUUUCUUCCAUGCACCACUAAUCGCUACCAUGUCUGUGGCCGGAGCUAUUCGACGAACAACCAUCGCAUUACCCAGGUACUUUUUCGGGUUUUUGGUCCACCUGGCACCAUUUUUGGCCCAUAUUUGCCCCAUAGCUCCGCCGGUAUCCAAGAUAUGGCCACACUUUCUUCUGGCCAUGGGUAGAUGGCACUUGUGGCUAGAUUUCUUCCAUGCACCACUAAUCGCUACCAUGUCUGUGGCCGGAGCUAUUCACGAAAGCGCCUCGCGCACUUGGUCGGAUUUUUGGUCCACCUGGCACCAUUGUUGGCCCGUAUUUGCCCCAUAGCUCCGCCGGUAUCCAAGAUAUGGCCACACUUUCUUCUGGCCAUGGGUAGAUGGCACUUGUGGCUAGAUUUCUUCCAUGCACCACUAAUCGCUACCAUGUCUCUGGCCGGAGCUAUUCGACGAACAACCAUCGCAUUUACCUAGGUACUUUUUCGGAUUUUUGGUCCAACUUGCACCAUUUUUGGCCCAUAUUUGCCCCAUAGCUCCGCCGGUAUCCAAGAUAUGGCCACACUUUCUUCUGGCCAUGGGUAGAUGGCACUUGUGGCUAGAUUUCUUCCAUGCACCACUAAUCGCUACCAUGUCUGUGGCCGGAGCUAUUCACGAAAGCGCCUCGCGCACUUGGUCGGAUUUUUGGUCCACCUGGCACCAUUGUUGGCCCGUAUUUGCCCCAUAGCUCCGCCGGUAUCCAAGAUAUGGCCACACUUUCUUCUGGCCAUGGGUAGAUGGCACUUGUGGCUAGAUUUCUUCCAUGCACCACUAAUCGCUACCAUGUCUGUGGCCGGAGCUAUUCGACGAACAACCAUCGCAUUACCCAGGUACUUUUUCGGGUUUUUGGUCCACCUGGCACCAUUUUUGGCCCAUAUUUGCCCCAUAGCUCCGCCGGUAUCCAAGAUAUGGCCACACUUUCUUCUGGCCAUGGGUAGAUGGCACUUGUGGCUAGAUUUCUUCCAUGCACCACUAAUCGCUACCAUGUCUGUGGCCGGAGCUAUUCACGAAAGCGCCUCGCGCACUUGGUCGGAUUUUUGGUCCACCUGGCACCAUUGUUGGCCCGUAUUUGCCCCAUAGCUCCGCCGGUAUCCAAGAUAUGGCCACACUUUCUUCUGGCCAUGGGUAGAUGGCACUUGUGGCUAGAUUUCUUCCAUGCACCACUAAUCGCUACCAUGUCUCUGGCCGGAGCUAUUCGACGAACAACCAUCGCAUUUACCUAGGUACUUUUUCGGAUUUUUGGUCCAACUUGCACCAUUUUUGGCCCAUAUUUGCCCCAUAGCUCCGCCGGUAUCCAAGAUAUGGCCACACUUUCUUCUGGCCAUGGGUAGAUGGCACUUGUGGCUAGAUUUCUUCCAUGCACCACUAAUCGCUACCAUGUCUGUGGCCGGAGCUAUUCACGAAAGCGCCUCGCGCACUUGGUCGGAUUUUUGGUCCACCUGGCACCAUUGUUGGCCCGUAUUUGCCCCAUAGCUCCGCCGGUAUCCAAGAUAUGGCCACACUUUCUUCUGGCCAUGGGUAGAUGGCACUUGUGGCUAGAUUUCUUCCAUGCACCACUAAUCGCUACCAUGUCUGUGGCCGGAGCUAUUCGACGAACAACCAUCGCAUUACCCAGGUACUUUUUCGGGUUUUUGGUCCACCUGGCACCAUUUUUGGCCCGUAUUUGCCCCAUAGCUUCGCCGGUAUCCAAGAUAUCGCCACACUUUCUUCUGGCCAUGGGUAGAUGGCACUGGUGGCUAGAUUUCUUCCAUGCACCACUAAUCGCUACCAUGUCUGUGGCCGGAGCUAUUCGACGAACAACCAUCGCAUUUACCUAGGUACUUUUUCGGAUUUUUGGUCCAACUUGCACCAUUUUUGGCCCAUAUUUGCCCCAUAGCUCCGCCGGUAUCCAAGAUAUGGCCACACUUUCUUCUGGCCAUGGGUAGAUGGCACUUGUGGCUAGAUUUCUUCCAUGCACCACUAAUCGCUACCAUGUCUGUGGCCGGAGCUAUUCGACGAACAACCAUCGCAUUCACCUUCUCGUUGCACUUCUUUGGGAAUUUGGUGCAACCAAGUUUUCACUAUAACUUGGUCAUUUUCCGUCCAUCGGACAUGCGGUUUUGGGUGUCGAUACUUGACACCGCGCGCUACAAUAUGUUCCUCCACGACCAUGUGGUCCGAUGCUUCCAACAGGAGCUAUUCGAGGAGUACCGAUUUUUCACCAUUAAAAAUGCUCAAUUUUGCACCAACUUUUGCCUAUAACUCAGGCUGUAUCGAUCGGAUCUUCAAUCUUGAAAAAGUUUUGGAUAG